GACGGGGCCGCACAAGCGGUGGAGCAUGUGGUUUAAUUCGAAAGCAACGCGAAGAACCUUACCAGGUCUUGACAUCCGAUGCUAUUCUAGAGAUAGAAAGUUACUUCGGUACAUCGGUGACAGGUGGUGCAUGGUUGUCGUCAGCUCGUGUCGUGAGAUGUUGGGUUAAGUCCCGCAACGAGCGCAACCCCUAUUGUUAGUUGCCAUCAUUCAGUUGGGCACUCUAGCGAGACUGCCGGUAAUAAACCGGAGGAAGGUGGGGAUGACGUCAAAUCAUCAUGCCCCUUAUGACCUGGGCUACACACGUGCUACAAUGGUUGGUACAACGAGUUGCGAGUCGGUGACGGCGAGCUAAUCUCUUAAAGCCAAUCUCAGUUCGGAUUGAGGGCUGCAACUCGCCCUCAUGAAGCUGGAAUCCGUAGUAAUCGCGUUUCAACAGAACGCGGUGAAUACGUCCCUGCUCCUU
rnacentral:rRNA from 1 species